CAGCCGCCGCGGUAAUACCGGCGGCCCGAGUGGCGGUCACUAUUAUUGGGCCUAAAGCGUCCGUAGCCGGGUUGGGAAGUCCUCCGGGAAAUCUGGCCGCUUAACGGUCAGAAUGCCGGAGGAUACUCCCAGCCUAGGGAGCGGGAGAGGCCGAGGGGAUUCCCGGGGUAGGGGUGGAAUCCUAUAAUCCCGGGAGGACCACCUGUGGCGAAGGCGCUCGGCUGGAACGCGUCCGACGGUGAGGGACGAAGGCCAGGGGAGCAAACCGGAUUAGAUACCCGGGUAGUCCUGGCUGUAAACGAUGCGGACUUUGUGUCGGACAAGCUAUGAGCUUGUCCGGUGCCGGAGGGAAACCGUUAAGUCCGCCGCCUGGGGAGUACGGCCGCAAGGCUGAAACUUAAAGGAAUUGGCGGG
rnacentral:rRNA from 1 species